rnacentral:tRNA from 1 species
ACGGUGGUGGCCAAGUGGAUAAGGCGUCUGCCUACGGACCGGCUAGCGACCCGUCGCUGGACGGCAGCGAGCAGAAGAUGGUGCGGUACGCGCGCCUUCCGUGUGGGUUCGACCCCCAUCCACCGUG